GUGGUGCUUUUCUCGAAGAUUGCGAACGAGGAAAAUAACUCGUAGAGAUGUUAAGAUUAAACAUGUUUUCUAUACACGCCCUUUGCGCAAUCCUUGCCGAAUGUUUUGGAAAACGACAGCCCCGCUUGAGUUUCAAGGCGAAAACAUUGCAGCCCUGAGAUACGGUGGAGCGUGAUAAGAUGAGUACGUUUUGUCAAGUGUUAGUAGUUUUAUGUAUUCAACUGCUUUCGCCCAGCCAGGGAACAACAAACAAGUAUGAAAGAAAUAAGGCUUGUCUAAAACCACCUACGAAAAAAAACUGCACUACAUUAGAAUACAAGUGGAGUUUCAUUGAAGAAUUAAAUGGUUGCUACGAAAAUAAAGUGUGCUCGGACAACAUAAACAAGUUCGACGACAAGUUCAAGUGUGCAAGGGCCUGUCCACCACUUUGGCGGCCCUUACAUCCAAGGAAAAAGAUUACUUGCAGUGAUUGGCUCCGCGGAAAUCCAUGUUACCAAUACUGGCUUGAAUAUUAUCCCGACAUUUACGGAUUUUUUCGUCCCUACAUGUUUUAUACGGCAUGCCGAGUAUGGAAAAACAAACUAUAUGUGUGCGAUCCAUGGACAAAGACCUGUCCAGAAAUACGUAGUUGUUUCUCAUGCACUGGCGUUUAAGAAAAUAUCUGCCUGUUCCCUGGAGUCAGCGCAAUAACCUUAAACACAUGCGUCGAAUGUUUUACUGGUUGAUGAAAUUAAACUACGUCAUCUCGCUGUGUGCUUCCGUUUCAGAAAUUCACCGGAGUCAUGCAGUGAUGCUGAAAAUAUUUAGUUCGCACAAUAAAAAUGUUCUUUCCGUGUC